CGACGAGCGGCGAACGGGUGAGUAACACGUGGGUGACCUGCCCCCUACUCUGGGAUAAGCCUGGGAAACUGGGUCUAAUACCGGAUAUGACUCCUGGUUUCAUGGCUGGGGGUGGAAAGCUUUUGUGGUGGGGGAUGGGCCCGCGGCCUAUCAGCUUGUUGGUGGGGUGAUGGCCUACCAAGGCUUCGACGGGUAGCCGGCCUGAGAGGGCGUCCGGCCACACUGGGACUGAGACACGGCCCAG
rnacentral:rRNA from 1 species